GAUGAACGCUAGCGGGAGGCUUAACACAUGCAAGUCGAGGGGCAGCAUAGGGUAGCAAUACUCUGAUGGCGACCGGCAAACGGGUGAGUAACGCGUAUGCAACCUACCCUGUACAGGGGGAUAACCCGGAGAAAUUCGGACUAAUAUCCCGUAAUAAUAUCCGGAGGCAUCUUUGGAUAUUUAAAGUUCCGACGGUACGGGAUGGGCAUGCGUAACAUUAGCUGGUUGGUAAGGUAACGGCUUACCAAGGCUAUGAUGUUUAGGGGUCCUGAGAGGGUGGUCCCCCACACUGGUACUGAGACACGGACCAGACUCCUACGGGAGGCAGCAGUGAGGAAUAUUGGUCAAUGGGCGCAAGCCUGAACCAGCCAUCCCGCGUGCAGGAAGACGGCCCUAUGGGUUGUAAACUGCUUUUCCAGGGAGAGAAACUUACGCACGUGUUGCGUGACUGACGGUACCCUGGGAAUAAGCAUCGGCUAACUCCGUGCCAGCAGCCGCGGUAAAACUCAACGUGUACG
rnacentral:rRNA from 1 species